ensembl:miRNA
GAGGGGUAUGUGGGGGGCUUGAAGCCAGGGGAUGCCUCACGUCUUUACCCCUCUCACCUAAGCAG